rnacentral:rRNA from 1 species
AGGAGGGCCCGCCCCCUGAAUUUUUAAAGGGCUGCAGUAUUUUGACUGUACAAAGGUAGCAUAAUCAUUAGUUUUUUAAUUGAAAGCUUGUAUGAAUGGUUUAAUGAAAAAAAUACUGUUUCAGUAUUAAUUUAUAGAAUUUUAUUUUUAAGUUAAAAAGCUUAAAUUUUAAUGAAAGACGAGAAGACCCUAUAGAAUUUUAUUUUUUUAUAUUUUUAUUAUUUUAGAAUUUAAAAAUUUUGAAUUUGUAAAUUAAUUAAGUUGGGGUGAUUAAAAAAUUUAAUAAACUUUUUUUUUAUUUUUACAUUUAUAUAUGAAAUAAUGAUCCAUAAAAAUGAUUAAAAAAAU